UACGGGGGGAGCAAGCGUUGUUCGGAUUUACUGGGCGUAAAGGGCGCGUAGGCGGCCACCGCAAGUCGACUGUGAAAUCUCCGGGCUUAACCCGGAAAGGUCAGCCGGAUACUGCGGGGCUAGAGUGCAGAAGGGGCAACUGGAAUUCUCGGUGUAGCGGUGAAAUGCGUAGAUAUCGAGAGGAAGACCAGUGGCGAAGGCGGGUCUCUGGACAGUUCCGUGACGCUGAGGCACGAAGGCCAGGGGAGCAAACGGG
rnacentral:rRNA from 1 species